rnacentral:sRNA from 1 species
GGCUUGCUGAGGACAGAUAAAAUGGAUGUGUGUAUCCAAGGCGCCAGCGGUAAGGAUUAAGCCUUCUCCAGCGAUGAUUUCGGUGCUGGCACCAAUAAUGAUGGUUACAUUGGGCUGGAUAUCGGGGUUGCCUGCUUUGCCAAUGCCACUGAUGUAACCGUUUUUAAUUCCUACAUCGGCUUUAAUAAUGCCACUGACCGCAUCAACAAUGAGCGCGUUGGUAAUGACGGUAUCGGCCACUUCGGCCGCCAAGCGCAUGCUUUGACCCAUGCCAUCGCG